AUGCUUAAAAUACAAUAAUCCUUAAACUGGAAAAUAUGUUAAAUUGUCGAUUAUAGGCUUGUAAAUCUGUUUAUAUGAUUCAUAGAUCAUUUAUUUUACAAUAUGGUAAGUUGUUGCUGCUUUUACUUAAGCAAACUAAAAUAUAAUCUGACCUUGUAAAAGAAAAUAAAUAAUUAAGGUGCAUCAUAUGGAUGUUUUAAAAUGGAAAUUCACUUUUGUAAACUAGAUUAUGUGAGUAUUACGCAAGUAUCUUUCUUUAUUCCAUUGUAAGAGGCCAAGGAUUUCAAGAGGUUGAGGAUGUAACUGGUUGUAUUCAUAUUAACUAUCUAUUGUCACUAAAGACCUUUAUUUUAUUUUUUGUAAAAAGAAAAGAAAAAAAAGAAAAAAUUAAUUGACUCUUAUUUUUGCUAGUAUUGAAUUAAGUGCAGAAUACAGAGUGCUCCUCUUACUAUUGAUAUCUUUCCAGGUUCACCGGUGCAUGUUAUAGUGACUGGGACACUUUUGGGCUUAUUGAUUAGCACUACUUUUUUCGUCGAGAUUUACUACCAAUGUUUCACUGCCCGACGUGGCCGGUCUACUGCUGAUGGGACAGUUGCACCUGAACCUGUCUCUCACACUCAGGUCUAGUCCUUCAACAGUGCAAACUUCUACCAAGAAAGACAUUUUGAUGACGUGAAGUACUAGUACUACUGAAUAAUAUGAGAGAGUACUCUUCCCUGCCAGUAGAGGCCACAAUCUCCCUAAUUCUAGUUCAGUCUCUACCAGCAAAACUCCAUGUCACAGUAUACUGUACAGUAGAAACCCGUUAAGUUCAGCAACACAUACUUUGCUAAAGGAAUUAUGAGCCUUGAAGUUCUGCUGAUUUUCUAUGUUGUGCUUAUCUGCAUGCCCAGUUUAUUCUUGAGCGUAUUCUUUAACAUUGUUGUAUUAUGUCUUCUUGUGUUUUCUCUGUUUGAUUUUAUUAGUUUGUAUGCCUCGCCUUCAUAAUAAAGUGCUUCUGAAUUUCA